GAUGAACGCUGGCGGCGUGCUUAACACAUGCGAGUCGAACGAUGAAGCCCAGCUUGCUGGGUGGAUUAGUGGCGAACGGGUGAGUAACACGUGAGUAACCUGCCCUUAACUCUGGGAUAAGCCUGGGAAACUGGGUCUAAUACCGGAUAGGAGCGUCCACCGCAUGGUGGGUGUUGGAAAGAUUUAUCGGUUUUGGAUGGACUCGCGGCCUAUCAGCUUGUUGGUGAGGUAAUGGCUCACCAAGGCGACGACGGGUAGCCGGCCUGAGAGGGUGACCGGCCACACUGGGACUGGGACACGGCCCAGACUCCUACGGGAGGCAGCAGUGGGGAAUAUUGCACAAUGGGCGCAAGCCUGAUGCAGCGACGCCGCGUGAGGGAUGACGGCCUUCGGGUUGUAAACCUCUUUCAGUAGGGAAGAAGCGAAAGUGACGGUACCUGCAGAAGAAGCACCGGCUAACUACGUG
rnacentral:rRNA from 1 species